rnacentral:sRNA from 1 species
CUGCGGCAAAUGCUGAAGUGGAUCAAGCACCAAAUCUUGCAGCUGUCACAGCGGCUAAAAAUAAAGCAACAUCGUUAAACACAGCGAUGGGUAAUUUGAAACAUGCACUUGCUGAAAAGGAUAAUACGA